GAUGAACGCUGGCGGUGUGCCUAAUACAUGCAAGUCGAGCGAACAGACCAGGAGCGUGCUCCUUUGACGUUAGCGGCGGACGGGCGGGUAAGACGUGGAUAACCUACCUAUUAUACUGGGAUAACUUCGGGAAACCGGAGCUAAUACCGGAUAACAUGUUCAACCGCUGGGUUCAAGAGUUAAUGACGCUUUUGCUGCUACUUAUAGAUGGAUCCGCGCCGCAUUAGCUAGUUGGUAAGGUAACGGCUUACCAAGGCAACGAUGCGUAGCCGACCUGAGAGGGUGAUCGGCCACACUGGAACUGAGACACGGUCCAGACUCCUACGGGAGGCAGCAGUAGGGAAUCUUCCGCAAUGGGCGAAAGCCUGACGGAGCAACGCCGCGUGAGUGAAGAAGGUCUUCGGAUCGUAAAACUCUGUUAUUAGGGAAGAACAAAUGUGUAAGUAACUAUGCACGUCUUGACGGUACCUAAUCAGAAAGCCACGGCUAACUACGUG
rnacentral:rRNA from 1 species